rnacentral:lncRNA from 10 species
UUUACUGAGAUUCUAUGGUAUGUCAAAUCUUGUGUUGAGUAUUUUGUGCUCUCUCUCUCUCUCUCCUUCCUUUUCUUAGGGGAAGGAAUAGGAGCAGAUAAGGCAAACGGUGUGAAAUACUAUAAAACAGGAACACAGAAAAUGCAUUGGAGAUUUGGAGGAGGGAGUGGCUUCUGGAUGAGGUUAUGGAUGCCUUCCUGUCAGGAGAGACAUUUGGUUUGGGCCUUGAUAAAACAGCAGUAUUUGGAUAUACACAGGUACAUUGGAAGUCAUUCCAAGUAGAAGAAGCAAAACAUCAAAGACCUGGUGCCUAGAGAGCAGCAUUCAUACCUUAUGUUUUAUAUCCCUCCUCAAGUGCCUAGUAGAGAGCUGGGCACACGUCAGCAACUUAAUACAUACUUGCUAAUUCAUAUUGUCUCUCUCUCUCUCCUUCUCCGACAGGGGCACCACCAACACUUAAGCCUCCAUCUUCAGGCAAGAAAGUCUGUGAUAUGAAUGAAGGGAUCAUAAAAGGCACAUGGAAUCAAAGCUUUUGGUCAACUGCCAACAAGGUACAGAGGCCCAACAGCAAUCAUCGAAUGAACUUGGAAGUGGAUCCUCUCACCCCAGUUGAGCCUUCUGAUGACUGCAGCCCUGGCUGAUGCUUGACUACAACUUCAUCAGAAAUCCUCAUGAAGAUCCAGCACCUUCCAGUUAGCCCAUCUAUGAGAAAACCAAUGCUCCGAUGAGUGCAGUGACUUCCCAUGCCUGUGGAGAGUCUAUGCCUUUGAUUGGAUCCCCAGAGGUGGUUUUCACUUGCCCCCCAUUGCCUAUACCAUGUUGCCUUCCUGGAGUUGGUGGCCUUUGAGCUGGGCCUGGAAGAUUGGGUAGGACUUUAUGAAGUGGGGAUGGAGAGACAAGCUGUGCGAUGGGGAUGAAGAAGAUAACCCAGGUCAGAGGGAACAGCAUAAGCAAAGAUCUUGGCUCAACCAAGAGGCGGACUCACCGUGAUGUGAAUGCAGCUUGAGCAUCCAGGACUCUCCCCAGAUCCAGGGAGGGCCUCAGCGAUGUGUUCACGUUGUCAUAUUUUUAUAAAAUUUGCAAAGGUAAGAUACUUUAACCACAAUCAAAAUUACUAUUUUCUUCCCACUCCAACUUCCCUUGUGUUUCAAUUUUCCUUUAUGUGGGAUAAUUGGAGUGGCCAUGGGCACUUCUGGGAUCUGACCAAGGGGAAGCUGAGUGGGGGACUGAUUUGAGUUGGGUUCACUGGGAUAUGUUUAUGUGGUUUUCUGAAACAGAGGAUAUAUUAAUAUUUAUGUGGUUCUCUGUGUAUAGAUAAAUCAUUGCUAGUAAUCUCUGUGUAGAGAAUAGCUUCUAGGAAUUCUACCCACUGCCCAGCUCACUUGGCAUGGUGAUAUUAAGUUGCCAUAUGCAGAGGUCAUAUCGUGAUAUGAAUGUGUGUCAUGGCACCCAGCCCAGGAAGUAUAUGGGCAGUAGACAAGAAACAGGAGAAACCAGGUUUGAAAUGUACAGAGCCAGAAGCUAGUCUGUGGAAAAUUCUUCUAAUCAUCAGGGGGAGAAAAUGUGUCUCAGAGGUUAAGCAGGGCAGUUAAUAAAAGUAUUACGCAUUUUGGGGGGAUUGUGUGAUGUAUCUGUUUUGAUUUCUUUUCUCAUUAUAGGUAAAUAUAGGUACCUUGUACCUAAUUUUAUAUUCAUAAUUUUGUAUAUUUUUCUUAAAGAGGGCUCCUCAAAUUAUAAAACCUUCAGUUCCCACAAGGUCUACACAUCCAACCUUGGCUCCAUCAUUUAUUUUCUGUGUGAUCUUGGGGAAGUCACUUGUGCUUUCUGAGCCAGUUUCCUCUUCUAUAAAAUGUGAA